rnacentral:rRNA from 1 species
UGCUUAACACGUGCAAGUCACGGGGGCCCGCAAGGGUAACCGGCGAACGGGUGCGUAACACGUGAGCAAGCUUCCGAUUAGUGGGGGAUAGCCGGCCUAACGGCCGGGUAAUACCGCAUACGUUCAUCGCUCGGCAUCGAGUGGUGAGGAAACCUCCGGGGCUAAUCGAGGCGCUCGCGGCCUAUCAGCUAGUUGGCGGGGUAACGGCCCACCAAGGCGACGACGGGUAGCUGGUCUGAGAGGAUGGCCAGCCACAUUGGGACUGCGACACGGCCCAGACUCC